UACGGAGGGGGCUAGCGUUGUUCGGAAUUACUGGGCGUAAAGCGCACGUAGGCGGCUUUGUAAGUUAGAGGUGAAAGCCCGGGGCUCAACUCCGGAAUUGCCUUUAAGACUGCAUCGCUUGAAUCCGGGAGAGGUGAGUGGAAUUCCGAGUGUAGAGGUGAAAUUCGUAGAUAUUGGGAGGAACACCGGUGGCGAAGGCGACCACCUGGACGAAGAUUGACGCUGAGGCGCGAAAGCGUGGGGAGCAAACAGG
rnacentral:rRNA from 1 species